AUUUACGUGCGUGUCGCGCGAUGUUCUCGAGAAUAAAGAAAUCAAAAUGGAAGAUGCGUGCGCACGCGCGUACGUGUGAACACUUCUCUAAUCCGAAUUAAGGAAAUUGUGUGUGAAACGGAAACACUGUGGAGUGUGGCUCGAGCAUUGGUCGA